rnacentral:rRNA from 1 species
CAGUCGCCACGGUAAUGCGUAGGGUGCAAGCGUUAAUCGGAAUUACUGGGCGUAAAGCGUGCGCGGGCGGUUUGUUAAGACAGAUGUGAAAUCCCCGGGCUCAACCUGGGAACUGCAUUUGUGACUGGCAAGCUAGAGUGUGGCAGAGGGGGGUGGAAUUCCGCGUGUAGCAGUGAAAUGCGUAGAUAUGCGGAGGAACACCGAUGGCGAAGGCAGCCCCCUGGGCCAACACUGACGCUCAUGCACGAAAGCGUGGGGAGCAAACAGGAUUAGAUACCCCUGUAGUCCCUGUCUCUUAUAC